UACGGAGGGUGCAAGCGUUAAUCGGAAUUACUGGGCGUAAAGCGUGCGCAGGCGGUUUGUUAAGUCCGGUGUGAAAGCCCCCGGCUCAACUGGGGAGGGUCAUCGGUAACGGUCGUGCUGUGAGUGCAGGAGAGGGAUGUGGAACUCCGGGAGUAGCGGUGAAAUGCGUAGAGACCCGGAGGAACACCAGUGGCGAAGGCGGCAUCCUGGUCUGCGACUGACGCUGAGGCGCGAAAGCUAGGGGAGCGAACAGG
rnacentral:rRNA from 1 species